rnacentral:rRNA from 1 species
AGUGAACGCUGGCGGUAGGCCUAACACAUGCAAGUCGAACGGCAGCACAGUAAGAGCUUGCUCUUACGGGUGGCGAGUGGCGGACGGGUGAGGAAUACAUCGGAAUCUACUUUUUCGUGGGGGAUAACGUAGGGAAACUUACGCUAAUACCGCAUACGACCUACGGGUGAAAGCAGGGGAUCUUCGGACCUUGCGCGAUUGAAUGAGCCGAUGUCGGAUUAGCUAGUUGGCGGGGUAAAGGCCCACCAAGGCGACGAUCCGUAGCUGGUCUGAGAGGAUGAUCAGCCACACUGGAACUGAGACACGGUCCAGACUCCUACGGGGGGCAGCAGUGGGGAAUAUUGGACAAUGGGCGCAAGCCUGAUCCAGCCAUAGCGCGUGGGUGAAGAAGGCCUUCGGGUUGUAAAGCCCUUUUGUUGGGAAAGAAAAGCAGCAGGUUAAUACCCCGCUGUUCUGACGGUACCCAAAGAAUAAGCACCGGCUAACUUCGUG